rnacentral:rRNA from 1 species
AUUGAACGCUGGCGGCAUGCCUUACACAUGCAAGUCGAACGGCAGCACGGGAGCAAUCCUGGUGGCGAGUGGCGAACGGGUGAGUAAUAUAUCGGAACGUGCCCAGUAGUGGGGGAUAACUGCUCGAAAGAGCAGCUAAUACCGCAUACGACCUGAGGGUGAAAGGGGGGGAUCGCAAGACCUCUCGCUAUUGGAGCGGCCGAUAUCAGAUUAGCUAGUUGGUGGGGUAAAGGCCUACCAAGGCAACGAUCUGUAGUUGGUCUGAGAGGACAACCAGCCACACUGGGACUGAGACACGGCCCAGACUCCUACGGGAGGCAGCAGUGGGGAAUUUUGGACAGUGGGCGCAAGCCUGAUCCAGCAAUGCCGCGUGCAGGAAGAAGGCCUUCGGGUUGUAAACUGCUUUUGUCAGGGAAGAAAUCCUCUAGGUUAAUACCCUUGGGGGGAUGACGGUACCUGAAGAAUAAGCACCGGCUAACUACGUGCCAGCCGCCGCCGUAAGAC